rnacentral:rRNA from 1 species
GACGAACGCUGGCGGCGUGCUUAACACAUGCAAGUCGAACGGAAAGGCCCUGCUUUUGUGGGGUGCUCGAGUGGCGAACGGGUGAGUAACACGUGUGUAACCUGCCCUUGACUUUGGGAUAACUUCAGGAAACUGGGGCUAAUACCGGAUAGGAGCUCCUGCAGCAUGGUGGGGGUUGGAAAGUUUCGGCGGUUGGGGAUGGACUCGCGGCUUAUCAGCUUGUUGGUGGGGUAGUGGCUUACCAAGGCUUUGACGGGGAGCCGGCCUGGGCGGGUGACCGGCCACAUUGGGACUGAGAUACGGCCCAGACUCCUACGGGAGGCAGCAGUGGGGAAUACUGCACAAUGGGCGGAAGCCUGAUGCAGCAACGCCGCGUGGGGGAUGACGGCCUUCGGGUUGUAAACCGCUUUCGCCUGUGACGAAGCGUGAGUGACGGUAAUGGAUAAAGAAGCACCGGCUAACUACGUG